UUCUAUCGUCUGUCAUCUCACUGUUGACGUUGUGCCAGAGGUAGGUUGUAGGUUAAUUCUUUCUUCUCCUCUCACUUUGUUCUCUCUUGUUUUCUUUCUUUGUUAUUCAUUGCAGCGUUGUAGUUUUCCCCUUUCUCUCUAAAAAACGAGAUACAUUGGAUUUUGCUCUGUUCUCUAUAGGUGUUCUUUCAUACGCCUCUAUGUUAUCUUUCUUACGGUAUUUUUGUAUGUUUAUUUUAAUUUUUAGGUUAUUGUUUAGUGAAUUUAGGUAUUUUUUUGCAGGAGCGAGGCUUUUGUUUUCGUUUUCUAUUGAAUCUGAAUGCCUUUGUUUUCGGCGUUUUCUGAAUCCAGUUUUACUGCGUUAGUUUUGACAGGUUCGUGCCCUUCUUCCAAUCAUUUUAUGGGGUGAUACUUCGAAAUGCUAAUGGACGGUUUACUACUCUUCUCUGAUUGUAUUUAUGUAUGUUUGCUUGUAAUUUCAAAUUUGUUUGCGUGUUUUGUGCAUUUUUUUUGCUUGAUCUUUGUUUUAUUCUUAAUCCAAAUUUUUUGGAUUUGUUUUUGAUUUUCUCCGAUCCAGAUUAUGUACCUUUGUUUUUCGAUUUUAUCUGAAUUCUGCUUUGGUGCCAUUGUUUUUGUCAGGUUUUGGCUGUCUCUUUUAUUACCAUUUGGACGUGUCAGGUAUAUUUCUCUCCCUUUUUUGUAUUAUUCUUGAUGCAUUUGUGCAUAUAAUUAUGUGUAUUUAUCAUGCAACUAAAUAUGAUAUUGUAUCUUGUUAGACUUAUUUUCGCAAGUUAAAUUUUGUGCUUGUUUAGUUGUUAUGUUUAUUUGUAUUUUCAGUUUGGUUUUUUUCAUUUACUGAUAUGGGCCUUUGUUUCCAAUAUUUAUUUCAUCUUUAACAGAUAUGCUUGAAAAUGCUAAUGGAAUGCCACUCAGAUAAGCUCCUUGAUUUCAGCAAUGUGUGUUCUUGGGUAAAUUUCUUUACCACCUCCUUGACAAGUAGUGAUAUAUGUGCAUUUUUAAUCUCAGUGCGUACAUGUUUGGUUUGUUUAUUGGUUAUUGUUUAUUGAUAAUGAUCUUUUUGCUCAUCAGCAAAGUAUAUCAUAUAUACUUUUUCUAUGAUAUACUUUUCUAUUUGUAUCAGAUACAUGUGUCAUUCUUUGUGGUUUGUUGUUGCCAGAAAAUUCUAAUUACUAAAAUAUCUUUUAUUGCUUUUGGUUAUAUUAGUUCGUAGAUGUUUUUGAUGUGUUGAUUUAUAACUUGAUUUAUUUGGUGCUUAUACCCAUACUAGACACCUUUGUUUUUUAUUUCCAAUAUUAUUUUUAGAUUAACAACUAACAUAAUCAAAUACACGAAAUGAAGCAGGUGAUAACACUGGAAGGUGUAGCAUCGUUAAGAAG
rnacentral:lncRNA from 1 species